UCCCUGAAGGACUAGUGGUUAGGCCUUGGUGCUCUCACUGCCGCGGCCCGGGUUCAAUUCCCGGCCAGGGAA
rnacentral:tRNA from 1 species